rnacentral:ncRNA from 1 species
AUGUAAGCAGUCUUUAUGGCCAGCUGGUAGGCGGACAAGCCUACCAUAAACCAUCAAAUUGACGGGAAAGCCCUAAAGCUAUCUCAACCAAACAAGAGUGGUAACACAUUUUGUGGCACAGUUAAUGACUCGUGGUAAGGUAAAAUAGAGAUAGAUGUACGAAAGGAAAUGGGCAAUCCGCAGCCAAGUACCUGUUAAUUAUUAUUAAUAAUGAGGUAUGCAGUUCAUCGACUAGAUGUUGGUUGACGUUAUUUUCAGAGCGUUUAAGAUAUAGUCAAGCCUCACCCGAAAGGGUGCA